rnacentral:RNase_P_RNA from 2 species
AGCAUAAGUUAAUUGCUGCUUUUUAAAAAAGUAGAGGAAAGUCCGCGCUAGCACUACCUGAGAUGGUAGUAGUGUUCAUGUUGGAUCUAAGAAAUCCAAGCCUAGACGACAAGUGCCACAGAGACGAGCUUAUUAAAUUAAGGUGAAACGCGGUAAACUCCAUGAGCUAGAAACCCAAAUUUUGGUAGGGGAGUUCAACUAGAGGAAUUCAACAAUAGUUGAGAGGUUUUUAACCUAGAUAAAUAAUUAACUAAUACAGAACGCGGCUUAUUAAU